rnacentral:rRNA from 1 species
GUGGGGAAUAUUGGACAAUGGGGGGAACCCUGAUCCAGCCAUGCCGCGUGUGUGAAGAAGGCCUUUUGGUUGUUAAGCACUUUAAGCGAGGAGGAGGCUACCGAUAUUAAUACUCUUGGAUAGUGGACGUUACUCGCAGAAUAAGCACCGGCUAACUCUGUGCCAGCAGCCGCGGUAAUACAGAGGGUGCAAGCGUUAAUCGGAUUUACUGGGCGUAAAGCGCGCGUAGGUGGCCAAUUAAGUCAAAUGUGAAAUCCCCGAGCUUAACUUGGGAAUUGCAUUCGAUACUGGUUGGCUAGAGUAUGGGAGAGGAUGGUAGAAUUCCAGGUGUAGCGGUGAAAUGCGUAGAGAUCUGGAGGAAUACCGAUGGCGAAGGCAGCCAUCUGGCCUAAUACUGACACUGAGGUGCGAAAGCGUGGGGAGCAAACAGGAUUAGAAACCCUGGUAGUCC